rnacentral:rRNA from 1 species
AUUGAACGCUGGCGGCAGGCCUAACACAUGCAAGUCGAACGAGUGGCGGACGGGUGAGUAAUGUCUGGGAAACUGCCUGAUGGAGGGGGAUAACUACUGGAAACGGUAGAUAAUACCGCAUACCAUCAGAUGUGCCCAGAUGGGAUUAGCUUGUUGGUGGGGUAACGGCUCACCAAGGCGACGCUCCCUAGCUGUUCUGAGAGGAGGACCAGCCAAACUGGAACUGAGACACGGUCCAGAAUCCUACGUGAGGAAGGAGUGGGGAAUGUUGAACAAGGGGCGCAAGCUUGAUGCAGCCAUGCCGAGUGGAUGAAGAAGGCUUUCGGGUUGUAAAGUAGUUUCAGCGGUGAGGCGUUACCCGCAGAAGAAGCACCGGCUAACACCGUGCCAGCAGCCGCGGUAAUUC